rnacentral:rRNA from 1 species
AGCUCCAAUAGCGUAUAUUAAAGUUGUUGCAGUUAAAAAGCUCGUAGUUGGAUUUCUGGCAGAGUGACUCCUACCAGCAUGCUUGCUUGGCCAGGGGCGCCCUACCAUCCUUCGGUAAACCUCUAGGGCAUUCAUUUAUCUUAGAGCGGCUCCGAUAUUUUACCUUGAGAAAAUUAGAGUGUUUCAGGCAGGCUAUAGCCGGAAUACAUUAGCAUGGAAUAAUGGAAAAGGACUACUACCUCUUCUGUUGGUCUGGGAGGCAGCAGUAAUGAUUAAUAGGGAUAGUUGGGGGCAUUAGUACUUAACUGUCAGAGGUGAAAUUCUCCGAUUUGUUAAAGACUAACUUAUGCGAAAGCAUUUGCCAAGGAUGUUUUCA